rnacentral:lncRNA from 1 species
ACGGUUCAAAACGUGAGGCGCUGCUAUACCCCCUCGCGGGGAAGUUGGAAGGUGGGGUUCUGCUGGACGUGUGCUCCUGCGAGGCGCCCGCUCCCAAGGCCAGCUCAGGAGCAGGAGGCCCGGUGGCACCCGGCGCCCAGCCCUCCGGGAGGACCACGCUCGCGCCAUCCGUCGCCCGCAGGACACAGGAGGCAUCGAGAUUGGGGGCGUCCCCACAGCCCCACAGCCCUCGGACGCGUGGUGCCCUUUUCUGACUUAAAACAUUCGUCUUGCACCAGUAUUCACACGAUCGAAGUUUCAGUGUGCCUAGCUUUUCCUCCAAGGACAAAAAUGUGAAUAAAGCAAUAUUUUAGCCAAACAUUUCUGUGUCAAUUAAGAAGAUGGCAAUUCGUUCCAGACUAUAAAUUCU